AUUGAACGCUGGCGGCAGGCCUAACACAUGCAAGUCGAACGAGUGGCGGACGGGUGAGUAAUGUCUGGGAAACUGCCCGAUGGAGGGGGAUAACUACUGGAAACGGUAGCUAAUACCGCAUACAAUCGGAUGUGCCCAGAUGGGAUUAGAUAGUAGGUGGGGUAACGGCUCACCUAGGCGACGAUCUCUAGCUGGUAUGAGAGGAUGACCAGCCACCAUUGAACUGAGACACGGUCCAGACUCCUACGUGAGUCAGCAGUGGGGAAUAUUGCACAAUGGGCGCAAGCCUGAUGCAGCCAUGCCGCGUGUAUGAAGAAGGCCUUCGGGUUGUAAAGGACUUUCAGCGAGGAGGCGUUACUCGCAGAAGAAGCACCGGCUAACUCCGUGCCAGCAGCCGCGGGAAUAC
rnacentral:rRNA from 1 species